GAUUUUUGAUUUCAAUCAAAGCAGGUUCUUCACUUUGCUUUACUACAUCAUCAUCAUCAUCAUCAUCAUCAUCAUCAUCAUUUUUUUCUUGUAUGACAAAGCAAACAAGACAGAUAUGCUGGAUUUCGUAUCACAAAAUCACAAGUCGAACACUUCCCAAGUGUCUAGGACUGUGUGAUGUAUUUUCAGAUGAUGCGUGCAGAUCCCAGUAGGGUUGCCUUUUGCAGUUGGCAGAUCGUGAUUUUCACAUCACAUUAAGACACUUUACUACAUGUGCAUCUGAAAAUGUCAUAUAUUUGAUUAUAUGUCCAUGUAAAUUGUUAUAUGUAGGGAUGACCUCUAGGGCAUUGAGAACACGGAUACAAGAACACAAAUCCAGAAUCAGGAAUGGAUGCACAGACUCUACUCUAUACACACAUUUUCAAGAAAAAGCUCAUUCUGAUGAGAGUUUUAAGUUCUUUGUGAUAGAGAAGGUAAAACCCAUUGGAGACAAUAAAAGACUUCUUCUACAAAGGGAGUCUUUCUGGACCUUUAAAUUAAAAUCUGUAUUCCCCAAAGGACUGAAUGAUAGGAUUGAUUUCACCUGUUAUCUUUAGUGAAUUGAGUAUUUCAGUUCACCAUGCAAGCCAUAGGGCACUUGCAACUUGAGAAAAAACACAGAGCCCUGCAAGAGUAACGACGUAAAUUGACUACAUUGAAAAGCCUUGAACUGAAGCAGGACCAAGCAAGUAAUUAAGAUUAAAGAGACAGCAAUAAAUCCACAACAUACCGCAGAAGAUUCUGAGAAUCUCAGUAAGAAGAAAAAUACCAUACAUCAAAAGACUAUUUAAGACCUUACAUAAAUAACAACAACCUGAAGAAGGACUUCCCGAAACGAGGCAGUGUACCCGGGAUUACUUGUUGUUGCAUAGUUUUGUUCUACAUACACACAACAGCUGUGGACUGUUUUCCGUUGAGUUUGAUGUAUGCUUUACUUUAUAUGUUACUCAAUAAAGUUGUAUAAUUGUAUAUAUACCAUAAUUGUGGACUGUUUUCAGUUGGAGGUUUAUGUGUGUUUUGCUUUAUAUGUUUCACAAUAAGUUAGUACCCGGUUGGGACUGUAAAGAAAAUACUCUAUAUACUAGCAUACCACAAUACACACGCUAAAACCUA